rnacentral:rRNA from 1 species
CCUACGGGGUGUAGCAGUGGGGAAUCUUGCACAAUGGGCGAAAGCCUGAUGCAGCAACGCCGCGUGAGCGAUGAAGGCAUUCGGGUCGUACAGCUCUGUCCUCAAGGAAGAUAAUGACGGUACUUGAGGAGGAAGCCCCAGCUAACUACGUGCCAGCAGCCGCGGUAAUACGUAGGGGGAUAGCGGUAUCCGGAAUUACUGGGCGUAAAGGGUGCGUAGGUGGUUUCUUAAGUCAGAGGUGAAAGGCUACGGCUCAACCGUAGUAAGCCUUUGAAACUGGGGAACUUGAGUGCAGGAGAGGAGAGUGGAAUUCCUAGGGUAGGGGUGAAAGGCGUAGAUAGUAGGAGGAACACCAGUUGGGAGGGCGGCUCUCUGAACUGUAACUGACACUGAGGCACGAAAGCGUGGAGAGCAAACAGGAUUAGAGAGCCCUGUAGUC